rnacentral:rRNA from 1 species
UAGGGAAUCUUCCACAAUGGACGAAAGUCUGAUGGAGCAACGCCGCGUGAGUGAAGAAGGGUUUCGGCUCGUAAAACUCUGUUGUUAAAGAAGAACAUAUCUGAGAGUAACUGUUCAGGUAUUGACGGUAUUUAACCAGAAAGCCACGGCUAACUACGUCCCAG